CAGAACAUGGCUUUAUUGGAUACUCCCCAGAACUGCUAGAGAGCAACACUCUGCCAGAGUACAGCCCUGGGGAGUCUUUCUUCACUGUGUUUGGGGUGUUCUUCCCGGCAGCUACAGGCGUCAUGGCUGGCUUCAACAUGGGAGGAGACCUGAGGGAGCCUGCCACCAGCAUACCUCUAGGUUCCCUAGCAGCUGUCGGCAUCUCGUGGUUUCUGUACAUCAUCUUUACCUUCCUGCUUGGUGCCAUCUGCACCCGAGAGGCCCUCCGCUCUGACUUCCUGAUAGCUGAAAAG